UUGUAACGAGCAGAUUAUGUUAGAAACCCUGUAACUGUCAUGUUUAUAUAGCAACCAGAGCGUAGUAAACAGUGUUCCGUGUCUGAAAACUGGUGAAAAUGACCGGCACACAUUGAUACUUGCAGUGGGCUUGUAGGACCUACUCGAGUGCUACUUCUCUAGGCAACACCAUCGGUGAAGACAGCAUUAACGUCCAACCUCUUUUCAAGUGCCGUGUAUCUACACUUGUAUAGGAAUUUCAAACCGGCAAGUUGGAAUGUGUCUCUCUCACAGCCACUUCGUAAACGAUCAAGAAACAGUUUAUCGUGUACUAUAAAUUAAUACUCUCAAGACUAUUAUAAUAUUAGCAUGUAGCUACACGUAUACACGUACACGUACAGAUCAUCAACAAUUUCACCCGUUUGCUUAUCUCAUGCUAGUGUUAUGAGUCAGCCACACUUCUUUUGAUCUACAUGCAUGCUACCAACAUUGAGUGGCUUGCUUUUUGGAUAUAA